GGAGCACGCUGGUGCAUGCCUGUAGUCCCAGCUUACUCCGGAGGCUGAGGUGGGAAAAUUGCUUGAGCCCAGGAGUUCUGGGCUGUAGUGUGUUUUGUCAGUUGGGUGUCUGCACUAAGUUUGCCUUCAGUAUGGUGACCUUCUGGGUGUGGGGGACCACUAGUUUGCCUAAGGACAGGCAAACUGGCGCAGGUUGGAAACAGCUGGUCAAAACUCCCAUGUUGAGUAGUAGUGGGAUUGUGCCUGUGAACAGCCACUGCAUUCCAGCCUGGGCAGCAUAGUGAGACCCAAUCUCU
rnacentral:SRP_RNA from 1 species